GACGAACGCUGGCGGCGUGCUUAACACAUGCAAGUCGAACGGUAAGGCCCUUCGGGGUACACGAGUGGCGAACGGGUGAGUAACACGUGGGUGACCUGCCCUGCACUUCGGGAUAAGCCUGGGAAACUGGGUCUAAUACCGGAUAGGACCACUGCCUGCAUGGGAGGUGGUGGAAAGCUUUUGCGGUGUGGGAUGGGCCCGCGGCCUAUCAGCUUGUUGGUGGGGUGAUGGGCUACCAAGGCGACGACGGGUAGCCGGCCUGAGAGGGUGACCGGCCACACUGGGACUGAGAUACGGCCCAGACUCCUACGGGAGGCAGCAGUGGGGAAUAUUGCACAAUGGGCGCAAGCCUGAUGCAGCGACGCCGCGUGGGGGAUGACGGCCUUCGGGUUGUAAACCUCUUUCAGCACCGACGAAGCGCAAGUGGCGGUAGGUGCAGAAGAAGGACCGGCCAACUACGUGCCAGCAGCCGCGGUAA
rnacentral:rRNA from 1 species